rnacentral:rRNA from 1 species
UACGUAGGCAGCAAGCGUUGUUCGGAGUUACUGGGCGUAAAGGGUGCGUAGGCGGCUUCUUAAGUCUGGUGUGAAAUCUCCCGGCUCAACUGGGGAGGGUGCGCCGGAUACUGAGGGGCUAGAGUGUGGGAGAGGAAAGUGGAAUUCCUGGUGUAGCGGUGAAAUGCGUAGAUAUCAGGAGGAACACCGGUGGUGUAAACGGCUUUCUGGACCAUAACUGACGCUGAGGCACGAAAGCGUGGGUAGCAAACAGG